rnacentral:lncRNA from 1 species
GGAGAGGGAAUUGGCAGGUUCAGCGGGAGGCUACUCCCCCACCUGUCUCCAGGCACUGCAGACACAGCUGCUGCGGAAGGAGACAGUCAAAGCUUCCAAGGAAAGAAAUGGCCAAGAUUUGAGAGAAACCUGGCAGCGUCCCCAAGCCUGGCACGGGAUCGCCUCAGACGCACUCGGCUGCUCCGGAGGCGGAGCGCGAAGCAUCGGACCCGGCGGGCGGAGCCAGGCCAGCGGGGCGCAGCGCAACGCCUUCCGCCAGGGCGUCUGGCGCCACCUACCGGCGACCGCGCAAGCGUCAAUGCGACCCCAAAGCAAGCUGCUGUGAGCUGGCUGGACCUGGUCCCAGCCACUAGCAACAACGUUUCUAACAAAGGCCACCCGUCUUAGCCUACCCAGCUCAGAAACUCCUGUCUGAGUGCUCUGCCCUAGGAGUUGAUCUAACUGCUUUAUGUAAACCCAACCUGAGGACGAAGGCAGUCUGUGAUCCCAGUAUAGGCUCAGCGAAGAGUGUGUGCUCCCCACAACAGUAGCAUGAAUGAACAUAUGAAUGAAUGAAUCAACCUAUUUAAAAAAAAAAAAAAGCUUUCAGAUAUACUUAUGUUUGUCAGACAUUUUGUUGGUGGCUAGUAAAGUCUACAGUAACUG